rnacentral:rRNA from 1 species
GGAUUGCCUCAGUAACGGCGAGUGAAGCGGCAAUAGCUCAAAUUUGAAAUCUGGCUCUUCUCAGGGCUCGAGUUGUAAUUUGUAGAGGAUGCUUCGGCGUUGGCUAUGGCCUAAGUUCCUUGGAACAGGACGUCACAGAGGGUGAGAAUCCCGUAUGUGGCCGCUGGCCUUCGCCAUGUGAAGCCCCUUCGACGAGUCGAGUUGUUUGGGAAUGCAGCUCUAAAUGGGAGGUAAAUUUCUUCUAAAGCUAAAUACCGGCCAGAGACCGAUAGCGCACAAGUAGAGUGAUCGAAAGAUGAAAAGCACUUUGGAAAGAGAGUCAAAAAGCACGUGAAAUUGUUGAAAGGGAAGCGCUUGCAGCCAGACUUGCCCGCGGUCGCUCAUCCAGGCCCACGCCUGGUGCACUCUUCCGUGGGCAGGCCAGCAUCAGUUCGGGCGGUUGGAUAAAGGUCCCGGGAAUGUGGCUCCCUUCGGGGAGUGUUAUAGCCCGAGGCGCAAUGCAGCCAGCCUGGACUGAGGCCCGCGCUCUUGCUAGGAUGCUGGCAUAAUGGCCGCAAGCGGCCCGUCUUGAAACACGGACCAAGGAGUCUAACAUCUGUGCGAGUGUUUGGGUGUCAAGCCCGGGCGCGCAAUGAAAGUGAACGGAGGUGGGACCCCUCUGGGUGCACCAUCGACCGAUCCUGAUGUCUUCGGAUGGAUUUGAGUAAGAGCAUAGCUGUUGGGACCCGAAAGAUGGUGAACUAUGCCUGAAUAGGGUGAAGCCAGAGGAAACUCUGGUGGAGGCUCGCAGCUGGUUCUGACGUGCAAAUCGAUCGUCAAAUUUGGGCAUAGGGGCGAAAGACUAAUC